CAGCAGCCACGGUAAUACGAAGGGGGCUAGCGUUGUUCGGAAUUACUGGGCGUAAAGGGCGCGUAGGCGGCCAUUCAAGUUAGAUGUGAAAGCCCUGGGCUCAACCUAGGAAUUGCAUUUGAUACUGUUUGGCUUGAGUUCGGGAGAGGUGAGUGGAAUUCCCAGUGUAGAGGUGAAAUGCGUAGAGAUGUGGAGGAAUACCGAUGGCGAAGGCAGCCCCCUGGGCCAAUACUGACGCUCAUGCACGAAAGCGUGGGGAGCAAACAGGAUUAGAUACCCGAGUAGUCCCUGUCUCUUAUAC
rnacentral:rRNA from 1 species